UACGGAGGGGGCUAGCGUUAUUCGGAAUUAUUGGGCGUAAAGGGCGUGUAGGCGGCCUCGUAUGUCUCAUGUGAAAGCCCUCGGCUUAACCGGGGAACUGCAUGGGAAACGGCAAGGCUUGAGUCCGGGAGAGGAUAGUGGAAUUCCCAGUGUAGCGGUGAAAUGCGUAGAUAUUGGGAGGAACACCGGUGGCGAAGGCGGCUAUCUGGGGUAUUGCUGACGCUGAGGCACGAAAGCCAGGGGAGCGAACGGG
rnacentral:rRNA from 1 species